CUCCUUGACGUUAGCGGCGGACGGGUGAGUAACACGUGGGUAACCUACCUAUAAGACUGGGAUAACUUCGGGAAACCGGAGCUAAUACCGGAUAAUAUUUCGAACCGCAUGGUUCGAUAGUGAAAGGUGGUUUUGCUAUCACUUAUAGAUGGACCCGCGCCGUAUUAGCUAGUUGGUAAGGUAACGGCUUACCAAGGCGACGAUACGUAGCCGACCUGAGAGGGUGAUCGGCCACACUGGAACUGAGACACGGUCCAGACUCCUACGGGAGGCAGCAGGA
rnacentral:rRNA from 1 species